UGCUGCUGUGAACAUCGGGGUGCAGGUGUCCCGGCGUUUCACUGCAUCUGCAUCUUUGGGGUAAAUCCCCAGCAGUGCAAUUGCUGGGUCUAGGGCCGAUCUAUUUUUACUCUUUGAGGCGAUCUCUCCUUUCCCAUAAGCACAGUGACCAGUUUUUAAGAAUUUUAACACUUACAGGUUCCAAUUGUAGACAUUUUAAGUAUUACUUUUAAUCCAAUGAGGUGUAAAGUUUCAUGCUCACUCUUUGCAUUGCAAUUGUCUACCCCUACUCAGAGUUUGAUGCUUCUAGGACCAGAACUCUUCCUGGGUCCUCUGCUCUGGGACUUCACCACCUGUGUCUUGCUCAGAGGACUCUGUGUCCCUCUCCCUUUUGGUUGUGAAGUUCUAUGUUUUCCGUUCACCUGUGAAAAUCCUUUGAGCUGUAGGAGGAAGGCGAUUCCCAUAGAGGAUAUCACGUUUGCUUCUCCGAGGGAUCUGCGGUGCCAGCCUACGUCACGAAGGUGAUAAGAAAUUCGAUCUCCUAGGACUUCACGACCACCCUGUGUAGACAGAUACAGCCUCAGAGUGACCCCAGCGGAUACUGUAUGGAGCAGAAAAAGAGCUCAGUCAACUUCAGAUACAUGAAAAAUAAUAUAUGCAUGGAAUAGAAAAGAAACAUCAUGAUCUUCACUUCCAGAGAACUUAGAAAUCUUUGUUAAAGCACAAAUGUGAGAACUUUUUCGCAUCCCUCUUUUACCAAGGUCAUUGUUCUAACUACAUGUCAGAACAGGAAGGAAAAGAUGAAGAUAUCAACUGAAGAAAGUACAGGGUUUGAAGAGUUGACCUGAAAUCUUGUCUUAUAAGACUUAUAUUUCCUAUAAAGUUUAAAUCAAGACCUAUAUGUAGAUAUAAUUCUUUCAAAAUUCUUUAUACAACAUUUUAUAAUUCAGGACAUGAUUAGAAGACAGUUGUAUUCAGUUUUCGAAAUAUAUUAAGUAUUUCUGAGGGACUGACAAAAUCUUUCCCAUUAUAUAUUUUUUAAAGAUUUAUUUAUUUAUUUGAGAGACACAGAGAGAGUGCGCACGUGGCUCUGUGGCAUGGGGCAUUGCCAGUGGGGGGAGAGACAGAGGGAGAGAGAUAAUCUCAAGUAGAUUUAUUUUUAUGGAAUUUUGGAACAGAUGUUUUCAUUCUGUACUUGGCUGAGUAUGAAGAGCUUUGUUAUAUUAUGAACACUGAUUUUUUCAGAAGGAAAAAAUUACUUUAAUAAUUUGCCAUGAUAAUGUAACAAAAUUGGACAUGCCCAAUUUGAUUUCAGAAAGGGUCUAUUUAGAGAGGCAUAAAAAUGGUGAGUAUGAUAAAGUCCAUCUUCUGUUAAUAAUCUUGAUUCCAACAAUCUAAUAUCAACAGAAUGCUACCCUAGAACUGGAAUAUCUUCUCUAUUUAUGAUGGGUGGCUUCCUCAUUUUCAAAAUGCAUGCCCUUAAGCUUAAAGACUUUCAACAUCUUCUUUAUUCUUCCUGAGAAUCUGAAAGAUAGUCAGAAGUUGCCUGGAGGUUAUCUUUAAAUAAAUUUCUAAAUGAUACCAGAAAAUAUGUUACUUUAUGUACUUGCCACUAUUCGACUCUAAAUUUUUAUUUACUACCAAAGAUUAUGUCCAAAACUUCUUUAGAAGCAAUAGUUUAAAAUGAAAAAAAAAGAUGAAAUAUUUUUAUAAGGCCUUCAGAAAGAUAACUUUUAAAUAGAAUAACCAUCCCUUCUGCAUACUCAUCAUCCCCUUCAACAAUUUUGCCAGUUUUGUUUGAUUUCCUCCCCACUUUUGUUUUUAAACUGAAAUAUUUUAAAGAAAAUCUUAGACAUUAUGUCAUUUUACCUGUAAACAGUUCAAGCAAUAUGCUUCUUAAAUUGAUAAGGAUUUUUAGGGACACCCGGAUGGUGCAGUAGGUUGAAUGUCUGGCUUAGGCUGUAAUCUCAGGGUUGUGAGAUCGAGCCUCUUAUCGGGCUCCACACUCGAUGUGGAGUCUACCUGAGAUUCUCAAGAGAAGGGAGGACAGGAGAAAUAGAGGAAGGGGUUCCAAAUGUACAAACUUCCAGUUAUAAAAUAAA